rnacentral:rRNA from 1 species
AGUGAACGCUGGCGGUAGGCCUAACACAUGCAAGUCGAACGGCAGCACAGUAAGAGCUUGCUCUUACGGGUGGCGAGUGGCGGACGGGUGAGGAAUACAUCGGAAUCUACUUUUUCGUGGGGGAUAACGUAGGGAAACUUACGCUAAUACCGCAUACGACCUACGGGUGAAAGCAGGGGAUCUUCGGACCUUGCGCGAUUGAAUGAGCCGAUGUCGGAUUAGCUAGUUGGCGGGGUAAAGGCCCACCAAGGCGACGAUCCGUAGCUGGUCUGAGAGGAUAAUCAGCCACACUGGAACUGAGACACGGUCCAGACUCCUACGGGAGGCAGCAGUGGGGAAUAUUGGAAAAUGGGCGCAAGCCUGAGCCAGCCAUACCGCGUGGGUGAAGAAGGCCUUCGGGUUGUAAAGCCCUUUUGUUGGGAAAGAAAAGCAGCAGGUUAAUACCCCGCUGUUCUGACGGUACCCAAAGAAUAAGCACCGGCUAACUUCGU